AUGGACUAUGUGUCCAUUCCGUUUCCUGCGCUCCGUCCUCCCGCAACCUGCCUCAGCUCGCUCACCUACAGGCGCAGGUGCAGUCC
rnacentral:sRNA from 1 species